rnacentral:rRNA from 1 species
GACGGAGGGGGCGAGCGUUGUUCGGAAUUACUGGGCGUAAAGCGCCCGUAGGCGGUGGAUUACGUGAGCAGUGAAAGCCCUGGGCUUAACUCAGGCCGGGCUGUUCAAACGGAUGCACUGGAGUGCCGGAGGGGGAGGCGGAAUGCCUGGUGGAGCGGUGAAAUGCGUAGAGAUCAGGCAGAACGUCGGUGGCGAAGGCGGCCUCCUGGACGGACACUGACGCUGAGGGGCGAUAGCGUGGGGAGCAAACGGG